CGAGGAGCAAGUGGCCUGAUUUUUGGAAGGUCAGAGCAUCUUCUCCUGCUGGCUGCCCAACAGCUCUGUAAAUCGGGCCAACCUUCACGUUUCUCAGCCCUGGCUGGCAGCCAGGCGAAGGGAGCCGGGAGGGCGCCGAGGGAUCUCUCCUGUCAGGAGGGCGCUGGGUGGAGUCUGCUGCUCCCCUCCCGGAGCCACCUCCAGCUUCGGCGAAACCUGUCGGGCGGUUUCCCCCACGGUGACAGGGCGGAGGGGCGGGAGGCAACGCGCCGCCUCGGAACAGGUCCGCCGUGCCGAGAGGAAGAGCCAAGCCCGGGCCUGGAGAGCGAGGGGGAAAGCGCGUCCCCACCGCCCCCCCCUCCCCGCGGCUCCUCAGCCUCCUUGGUGCAGUGGUUCUUAACAGUUCAACAGUUCUCUAUCAUAAUUGUGAAAUGUUUAGGACCACUUGACCAGCGAGGCCCGGGCAUCGGGCCGGCAGCGGCGGACGAGACCUUGCAGCGCCGGGGGCCGGCGGCAGAGAGGGGCCGGGCGCUGCGGGACCCCCGGGGGCCCGGAGCCCCCACGCGGAGCCGGGGGAUGGAGGAGUCCUGCUGCCACAACGUGUGCCGGCCGCCCUCCUGAAGGCAGGCUGCUGCGCUUGAUGUAUAACCAUUUAUUCUCUUCUUUCUUCUCUUUUAAUUAUUUUUCUCCGUCGAUCCAGAUGCACACAGAUUAAAACAAGUCGGGUUGGCUUUGCUGACCGCCAGGGCUGCACCUCAGAGGCUUACCAGCGGUAAUAUCUGUAACCUGUGAUGGCACUUUUUUUUUUUUUUGGUGAGUGCACUCUAACUAAGAGCAGCAUACAACUCGCACUGUGGUGGUUUGUGCUGUAUUUUCCAUGUAUGUGCUUACUGCCGGCAGUGAAAGGAUUAUCCAAACCUUCACCAGACCGACGUUAGAGGGUUUCUGGUUUUAAGACUGUUGCGUUGAUGGUCUGAUCGAAAGGUCUGUGGACUUAAUGGAGCUUGACAGACCUUAUUUAAACUCUGGGUCUUUUAAAAUAGAGUUGAAGAACUCAGUUUUUAAAAAGAAGGGGGAAAAGAUAUCUGGAAGGAGUGAUUCUGUCAACAACUUAUUUUUCUUUUAAAAGGAUAGUUUAGUAAAUGAGAAGUUCCUCCUACUUUUUGCUCGUUCUUCUCACUGUGCCCUGAGAGCCAAAUGGAACUAGAAAUGUGCUUUUUUUUUUUAAUCUUAUAUUUAAAUAAAAUGCUCAAGAGACUAAUUCA
rnacentral:lncRNA from 1 species